UAUGUAGGGGGCAAGCGUUGUCCGGAAUCAUUGGGCGUAAAGCGCGUGUAGGCGGUUUCGUAAGUCUGCUGUGAAAGUCGGAGGCUCAACCUUCGAAAGCCGGUGGAUACUGUGAGACUUGAGUACGGAAGAGGAGAGUGGAAUUCCUGGUGUAGCGGUGAAAUGCGCAGAUAUCAGGAGGAACACCAACGGCGAAGGCAGCUCUCUGGGACGUUACUGACGCUGAGACGCGAAAGCGUGGGGAGCAAACAGG
rnacentral:rRNA from 1 species